AAUGGCUCUCUGGCGGAUAUAUUUCAGCCGGAGUUCAUCAGCAGAAUAAGCCGACACAAAGCAGUCUUUUCUUUCGCUCUGCCUGCGUAUGCUGCUUUUCUUUCUAACUUCUCUUGCUUCAUGUGUGUUUUUUCAGACAUUGAGCUCUGUUGCUUUCAGCCCCCCCCCCCCCCCCUCAUUUCUCCUGCCAUGUCUCUGAAGAGAUUUGGAACAAGGGGGAAGCCUUCAGCACCUGCUCAGGUUUGCUGCGGGUCGGAGGGGUGCCCAUUUACAUGGUACCAUCCCACUGGCACCGGGAAGACUUCCAUUAUAGGGCUCGGCAUGGACGGUGCUUUAGAAGUCGUGCCGGUCAUUCAUUGUGAAGUGUGUCCUGCUGUGGUGAGAGGCGUUCCUGUUCCAUCGGAAGAUGGAUGGAAAGGCUGCUGGACUUUGGUUCGAAUUAUCCUGGAAAAUUUGAAUAAACACGAUGAGUUACUAUGAACACAUACAAGGCACACCAGAUAACUUUAUGUUUUCUUCUAGGAAAUGUCUUAUGCGGGUCGGCCCAUGAUCUCUCUUCAGCUCAUUAAAAUGUAAUGCUGCUGGCCAGCUCUAUGGAACAGUGCCUCCUAACCAAAGUUCAUUACUCCUGCGUGCAGGUAGGCCUUUUUCACCUUGU